UACGAAGGGGGCUAGCGUUGUUCGGAUUUACUGGGCGUAAAGCGCACGUAGGCGGAUCGUUAAGUCGGGGGUGAAAUCCUGGAGCUCAACUCCAGAACUGCCUUCGAUACUGGCGAUCUUGAGUCCGGAAGAGGUGAGUGGAACUCCUAGUGUAGAGGUGGAAUUCGUAGAUAUCAGGAGGAAUACCGAUGGCGAAGGCAGGUCUCUGGGCUGACACUGACGCUCAUGCACGAAAGCGUGGGGAGCAAACAGG
rnacentral:rRNA from 1 species